CCUACGGGUGGCAGCAGUGAGGAAUAUUGGUCAAUGGACGCAAGUCUGAACCAGCCAUGCCGCGUGCAGGAAGACGGCUCUAUGAGUUGUAAACUUCUUUUGUACGAGGGUAAACGCAGAUACGCGUAUCUGUCUGAAAGUACCGUACGAAUAAGGAUCGGCUAACUCCGUGCCAGCAGCCGCGGUAAUACGGAGGAUUCAAGCGUUAUCCGGAUUUAUUGGGUUUAAAGGGUGCGUAGGCGGUCGGGUAAGUUAGAGGUGAAAUCCCGAGGCUCAACUUCGGAAUUGCCUCUGAUACUGUUCGGCUAGAGAGUAGGUGCGGUAGGCGGAAUGUAUGGUGUAGCGGUGAAAUGCUUAGAGAUCGUGCAGAACACCGAUUGCGAAGGCAGCUUACCAGGCUACUUCUGACGUUGAGGCACGAAAGCGUGGGGAGCGAACAGGAUUAGAUACCCUAGUAGUC
rnacentral:rRNA from 1 species